UUUUCUCAGAGCGGUAAUCUCACGGCUCAUCUACGCAUUCACAACAGUGAGCGGCCUUACAAACGUUCAGAAAAAAACUGUCAUAAACAUUUUAAACAACGAGCGGCAUUGAAUUCGCAUGCAAAAACUCGCGAUAGAGAAAAAACGGGUGACCGAAAAAAAAUGAGCGCCACUAUUAGAUUGCCAAACCAAGACGGCUUCGCUUCUGAGCAUUUGAAUGCCACUACGCCGUCUGUCCCUCUAACUGCCCCACGUGAUGGAGCUGCGUUUUCCUUCCCGCGGAAUCGUCUUCCAUUAAAUUCCUUUAGCCCUCGAGGAUUUCCAUCGCCCUCGUGUAGCCCCCUUUAUUAUCCGCCACCGCAGGCCGGGCAUCUGCCUACUACGUGGCCUCUUAAAGGAGAUUUUUGCACUCAUUACUAUCAAUAUCCGCCUUAUAA